UACAGAGGAUCCAAGCGUUAUCCGGAAUCAUUGGGUUUAAAGGGUGCGUAGGUGGGCAAGUAAGUCAGUGGUGAAAUCUCCGGGCUUAACCCGGAAACUGCCAUUGAUACUAUUUGUCUUGAAUACUGUGGAGGUCAGCGGAAUAUGUCAUGUAGCGGUGAAAUGCUUAGAUAUGACAUAGAACACCAAUUGCGAAGGCAGCUGGCUACACAAAUAUUGACACUGAGGCACGAAAGCGUGGGGAUCAAACAGG
rnacentral:rRNA from 1 species